ACGGGUGCGUAACACGUGAGGAACAUGACCUUCGGCGGGGGAUAGCCGGCCCAACGGCCGGGUAAUACCGCGUACGACCAUUUGGGGACAUCCCUGAGUGGUGAAAGCAGCAAUGCGCCGAUGGAGUGCCUCGCGGCCUAUCAGCUAGUUGGUGGGGUAACGGCUCACCAAGGCGACGACGGGUAGCUGGUCUGAGAGGAUGGCCAGCCACAUUGGGACUGAGACACGGCCCAGACUCCUACGGGAGGCAGCAGUGGGGAAUAUUGCGCAAUGGACGAAAGUCUGACGCAGCGACGCCGCGUGUGGGAUGACGGUCUUCGGAUUGUAAACCACUGUCGGGAGGGACGAAUACGCCGCAAGGCGGGUGACGGUACCUCCAAAGGAAGCACCGGCUAACUCCGUGCCAGCAGCCGCGGUAAUACGGAGGGUGCGAGCGUUGUCCGGAAUCACUGGGCGUAAAGGGCGCGUAGGCGGCCUGAUAAGUAGGGGGUGAAAUCCUGCGGCUUAACCGCAGGGCUGCCUUCUAAACUGUCAGGCUUGGGCACAGUAGAGGCAGGUGGAAUUCCCGGUGUAGCGGUGGAAUGCGUAGA
rnacentral:rRNA from 1 species